rnacentral:snoRNA from 1 species
UGGUGCAAUUACCUCAUUUCUGAUUUUGUAAUAAUCAGACAAGCUAGACAUUCCUUAUAAUAAGAUCUGUGUGACCCAGAACUAAUUCUAUACCUACUCAGGUAUGGUUUUAAACAUUCUGGUGACCAUG